rnacentral:rRNA from 1 species
UCAGGAUGAACGCUAGCGGCAGGCUUAACACAUGCAAGUCGAGGGGCAGCGCGGGGUAGCGAAUACUCGUGGCGGCGACCGGCGGAAGGGUGCGUAACGCGUGAGCAACUUGCCCGUCACUGUGGGAUAGGCACUGGAAACGGUGUGUAAUACCACGUAACACAUUUACUCGCAUGGGUAGAUGUUGAAAGGUUUACCGGUGACGGAUGGGCUCGCGUGCCAUUAGCUAGUCGGCGGGGUAACGGCCCACCGAGGCGACGAUGGCUAGGGGUUCUGAGAGGAAGGUCCCCCACACUGGAACUGAGACACGGUCCAGACUCCUACGGGAGGCAGCAGUGAGGAAUAUUGGUCAAUGGGCGGAAGCCUGAACCAGCCAUGCCGCGUGCAGGAAUAAGGCCCUAUGGGUCGUAAACUGCUUUUGUUGUGGAGCAAUAAGGGCCACGCGUGGUCCGAUGAGAGUACACAGCGAAUAAGCAUCGGCUAACUCCGUGCC